UGAUGAUGAUGAUGAUGAUGAUGAUGAUGAUGAUGAUGAUGGUGUUGCUAUUAUUAGUGUUAUUAUUGCCGUUAUCGCUGUCAUCGUCGUCGUCGUCAUCAUCAUCAUCUCCA
rnacentral:pre_miRNA from 1 species